GCCUUGGUAGCUCAGUGGAUAGAGCAUCAGUUUCCGAAACUGAGGGCCCCAGGUUCGAGUCCUGGUCAGGGCACCA
rnacentral:tRNA from 2 species